rnacentral:rRNA from 1 species
GAUGAACGCUGGCGGCGUGCCUAAUACAUGCAAGUCGAGCGAACGGACGAGAAGCUUGCUUCUCUGAUGUUAGCGGCGGACGGGUGAGUAACACGUGGAUAACCUACCUAUAAGACUGGGAUAACUUCGGGAAACCGGAGCUAAUACCGGAUGAUAUUUUGAACCGCAUGGUUCAAAAGUGAAAGACGGUCUUGCUGUCACUUAUAGAUGGUUCCGCGCUGCAUUAGCUAGUUGGUAAGGUAACGGCUUACCACGGCAACGAUGCAUAGCCGACCUGAGAGGGUGGUCGGCCACACUGGAACUGAGACACGGUCCAGACUCCUACGGGAGGCAGCAGUAGGGAAUCUUCCGCAAUGGGCGAAAGCCUGACGGAGCAACGCCGCGUGAGUGAUGACGGUCUUCGGAUCGUAAAACUCUGUUAUUAGGGAAGAACAUAUGUGUAAGUAACUGUGCACAUCUUGACGGUACCUAAUCAGAAAGCCACGGCUAACUACGUG